rnacentral:tRNA from 1 species
GCAUUGGUGAUUUAGUGGUAGAAUUCUUCCCUUCCAUGCAGGAGACCUGGGUUCAGUUCCUGGUCAAUGCA